UACCCAGCAACUCCUAUCCAUACCUCCUCGUGGUACCGGCCGGAAACUAUGAGCAACCUUAGGGAAGAUCGGGUAACCAACCCCGGUGGGAACUUUGGUCGUAGGCUGACAGGGAAGG
rnacentral:ribozyme from 1 species